GAUGAAGAACGCAGCGAAAUGCGAUAAGUAAUGUGAAUUGCAGAAUUCAGUGAAUCAUCGAAUCUUUGAACGCACAUUGCGCCCCCCAGUAUUCUGGCGGGCAUGCCUGUUCGAGCGUCAUUUCAACCAUCAAGCCCUGCUUGUGUUGGGGUCCUGCGACUGCCCGCAGGCCCUGAAAAACAGUGGCGGGCUCGCUAGUCACACCGAGCGCAGUAGCACAUCUCGCUCAGGGCGUGCGGCGGGCUCCAGCCGUUAAAGCACCCACCUUUCGCAAGGUUGACCUCGGAUCAGGUAGGAAUACCCGCUGAACUUAAGCAUAUCAAUAAGCGGAGGA
rnacentral:misc_RNA from 1 species